CCUACGGUGGGCAGCAGUGAGGAAUAUUGGUCAAUGGCCGGAAGGCUGAACCAGCCAAGCCGCGUGAAGGACGAAGGUGCCAAGCAUUGUAAACUUCUUUUGUCAAGGGACAAAAUCAGGCUCGAGAGCCUGACCGAGGGUACUUGAAGAAAAAGCAUCGGGUAACUCCGUGCCAGCAGCCGCGGUAAUACGGAGGAUGCGAGCGUUAUCCGGAUUUAUUGGGUUUAAAGGGUGCGUAGGCGGACUGUUCAGUCAGCCGUAAAAGCCCGGGGCUAAACCCCGGCGAGCCGUUGAAACUGGCUGUGUUGGGAUGUCGAGAGGUAUGCGGAAUGCGCGGUGUAGCGGGGAAGUGCGUAGAUAUUGCGCAGAA
rnacentral:rRNA from 1 species